rnacentral:lncRNA from 1 species
GCAAUCUCUGCCUGCUCCAAAGGGCGCACGGAAGACGAAUCGCGGCGCAGGAGGGCAGGCGAAGCUUCGGGUCAGGUUCGCCUUGCCCACUGGUGGCAAAGGUGUGAGAAGGAGGUAACUAUCUUACAGACAGAGCAAGAAAAGUAAAUUCACUUGGCUGUUCCAUAUCUCUGAGGAACCUGAUGCAUGAGUGGACUAGAGAAGAGAAAGACAGAAAAACUCCAAAGACCUACAGAUCAUCUGGCUGGCAGGGUCAAGUUUUCUUCGGAUUGAGGCAGAACUGCGGCUCACGGACAUCUGAUGUGAUAGAGCACACUCAACACUUUUAGAUAUCUGAAGACUGCAAAAGCUGACCAACAACAGCAGGUUUUUAAACAUCACUGCUCUUCUGACAAGUAAGUUCUCCAUUCUCAGAUUUUUUUUUUUUCUCUCUGGUAUUCCUGACUUGUAUUUUAUUCUUGCAUUUCUUAUAUGGACUACCACAUUCAUUUUCUGGGCCAAGUAAACGUGAG